rnacentral:tRNA from 1 species
AGUGAGGUCAGCUAAUUAAGCUCUUGGGCCCAUACCCCGAAAAUGUUGGUUAAAACCUUCCCUCACUA